rnacentral:rRNA from 1 species
GAUGAACGCUGGCGGCGUGCCUAAUACAUGCAAGUGGAGCGAACAGACGAGGAGCUUGCUCCUCUGACGUUAGCGGCGGACGGGUGAGUAACACGUGGAUAACCUACCUAUAAGACUGGGAUAACUUCGGGAAACCGGAGCUAAUACCGGAUAAUAUAUUGAACCGCAUGGUUCAAUAGUGAAAGACGGUUUUGCUGUCACUUAUAGAUGGAUCCGCGCCGCAUUAGCUAGUUGGUAAGGUAACGGCUUACCAAGGCGACGAUGCGUAGCCGACCUGAGAGGGUGAUCGGCCACACUGGAACUGAGACACGGUCCAGACUCCUACGGGAGGCAGCAGUAGGGAAUCUUCCGCAAUGGGCGAAAGCUUGACGGAGCAACGCCGCGUGAGUGAUGAAGGUCUUCGGAUCGUAAAACUCUGUUAUUAGGGAAGAACAAAUGUGUAAGUAACUAUGCACGUCUUGACGGUACCUAAUCAGAAAGCCACGGCUAACUACGUG